rnacentral:hammerhead_ribozyme from 1 species
AUCUAAUUGACGAGUCCGAAAUAGAACGAAACCUGCGUCCUGUAU